rnacentral:rRNA from 1 species
UACGGAGGAUUCGAGCGUUAUCCGGAUUUAUUGGGUUUAAAGGGAGCGUAGGCGGGUUGUUAAGUCAGUUGUGAAAGUUUGCGGCUCAACCGUAAAAUUGCAGUUGAUACUGGCAUCCUUGAGUACAGUAGAGGUUGGCGGAAUUCGUGGUGUAGCGGUGAAAUGCUUAGAUAUCACGAAGAACUCCGAUUGCGAAGGCAGCCUGCUGGACUGUAACUGACGCUGAUGCUCGAAAGUGUGGGUAUCAAACAGG